rnacentral:rRNA from 1 species
UACGGAGGUGCGAGCGUUGUCCGGAAUCACUGGGCGUAAAGGCGCGUAGGCGGCGCGGGAAGUCCGUGGUGAAGCCCGAGGCUCAACUUCGGGUCGGCCAUGGAUACUCCUGGGCUCGAGCACUGUAGAGGCAGGUGGAAUUCCGGGUGUAGCGGUGGAAUGCGUAGAGAUCCGGAAGAACACCGGUGGCGAAGGCGGCCUGCUGGGCAGUAGCCGAAAGGCUUGAAGCUCGACGCUGAGGCGCGACAGCGUGGGGAGCAAACAGGG